rnacentral:rRNA from 1 species
ACGGGUGCGGAACACGUACGCAACCUUCCUUCAAGCGGGGAAUAGCCCAGAGAAAUUUGGAUUAAUACCCCAUAAGAAUGUGACCUGGCAUCAGGUAGCAUUUAAAGAUUUAUCACUUGAAGAUGGGCGUGCGUCUGAUUAGGUAGUUGGUGAGGUAACGGCUCACCAAGCCGACGAUCAGUAACUGGCGUGAGAGCGCGACCAGUCACACGGGCACUGUGACACGGGCCCGACUCCUACGGGAGGCAGCAGUAAGGAAUAUUGGUCAAUGGACGCAAGUCUGAACCAGCCAUGCCGCGUGGAGGAUGAAGGCCCUCUGGGUUGUAAACUUCUUUUAUUUGGGACGAAACACUUCUUUUCUAAGGAGCUUGACGGUACCAGAUGAAUAAGCACCGGCUAACUCCGUGCCAGCAGCCGCGGUAAUACGGAGGGUGCAAGCGUUAUCCGGAUUCACUGGGUUUAAAGGGUGCGUAGGCGGACCUGUAAGUCCGUGGUGAAAUCUCCAAGCUUAACUUGGAAACUGCCAUGGAUACUAUAUGUCUUGAAUGUUGUGGAGGUUAGCGGAAUAUGUCUUGUAGCGGUG